UAAAAUGCCAUACUGAGCUGGUGAUUUAAAAAAUAAUUUUGUAUCAUUAGCACCCAUUUUGAAAAGCUCAAAAGAAUAAGGGCAUUGAACAAAAAUGAAAUGAAGCCAUAGCAAUUUUUUUUAGUUGUUGUUGUUGUUAGGUGCCGUCGAGUCGGUUCCGACUCAUAGCGACCCUGUAUACAACAGGAUGAAACAGUGCCCGGUCCUGAGCCCACCUCACAGUCAUCGUUAUGUUUGAGCCCGUUGUUGCAGCCACUGUGUCAGUCCGUCUCUUUGAGGGCCUUCUUCUCUAUCGCUGACCCUCUGCUUUACCAAGCAUGUGAUGGCCUUCUUCAGGGACUGAUCCCUUCUGAUAACAUGUCCAAAGUAUAUAAGAUGCAGUCUUACCAACGUUCCCUCUAAGGAGCAUCCUAAAAGAACUGAAAAAUCCUGAACGCUUAAAAGAUUGGAACUGUUCAAAUUUGCCUUCACGCUUUGUUAGCACACAAAAGAGUUUUUAGAGAAAUAAUAUAUCUGCAUGGUUUUAUGGUAUUUACAAUACUAUUUUUUAGAAUUUCACUUAUUUUCUUGAUUGAAUAUCACAGUUUUAAAUACUGACGUUUAGUGAACUCAGAAGCUCAGAGGCUGUGUGUAGUACCCUGCUCAGGCUUUGGGUCUGCUUUUUGUUGUUUUCGUACAGCUAUCAGCUAUAAAAGGAGCCCUGGAGGCGCGGUGGUUAAAGCGAUAGGCUGCUAACCAAGAGGUCAGCAGCUUGAAACCGCCAGCAGCUCCUCCGGAGAAAGAUGUGGCACUGUGCUUCUGCAGAGACCUACAGCCUUGGAAACCCUGUGGGGUCGUUAUGAGUCGGAAUCGACUCUAUGGCCCUGCGUUUUCUGGGUUUAUCAGCUGUAAACCCAAACAGUUAAAGCUCUUGGCCACUAACCGAAAGGUUGGACGUUCCAGCCUACCUAGAUGUGCUGAGAAAGAAAGGCCUGGUGAUCUCCUGAAAAAUCAUCCAUUGAAAACCCCGUGGAGCGCAGGUCUACUCGGACACACUCGGGGGCGCCAUGAGUCAGAGUCACUUGACAGCAGGUGGUGGUUUCUGGUUAUCAGCUGUGACGCUUUGUUAGGAGCUGUGACUCCUCGCUGCUGGCUUGCCUGCCUCUGUCAGUCUUUCUCACUUAAUUGAUUACAGAUUGGAACAAAGCAUCGUUAAACGAGUUAGUAUCAGGUCCCGCGAGUGCAUACUGUCUGCCUGAGGACGUAGAUAAAUAAACAGUUCGUUAUCUCAAGGACUUUGCCAUCUCCUGGGACAGGGAGGGGGACAAAACGAUUCUGUAACACCCUGUGGAGUUGCACAAGGCAAUGUAGAAUUGUGAGGGAGACAUGAGACGAGGAGCAUGGACUGAGUGAAGGGAAGGGGAGAAGCGCUUCUCAGUUGUUGCGAGCUGCUCUCGAGUCAGCUCUGACUCUUGGCUGCCGGCUCCCGCAGCGUCUCCAUGAUGGGUUGUGGACCAGGGUGUUGUGACGCACAGGGUUCCCACUGGUGGGUUUUCAGAAGUCGAUGGGCAGCCCUUUCUUCCUAGUCUGUUUCAGUCUGGAAGCCCCACUGAAACCUGUUCAGCAUCACAGCACAAAAGCCUCCCACCAACAGACGGGUGGUGGCUAUGCGUGAGGUGCUCUGGUCAGGAAUUGAACUCGUGGCAAUGCGUGAGGUGUUCUGGCCAGGAAUUGAACUCCUGUCUCCUGUGUGAAAGGUGACGCUUUUACCACGGAACCACCACUGCCCUCUUGACGACUGUAUUGGACAAUAGUUUGUUUCAAUCAGAGUAGACCUGUGCUCCAUAGAGUUUUCAAUGCUGAUUUUUUGGAAGUAGAUUGCCAGGCCUUUCUUCCAAGGCACCUCUGGGUGAACUCGAACCCCCACCCUUUUGAUAAGCAGCUGAAUGCAUGAACUGUUUGUGCCACUCAGAGAAGCCUAGCUCACGUGUGUGUCCCUAAAACCUCCAGAGGAAAGGAUUAAAAUUGUGUGCUUCAUCUCAGGGGUCUUCCGGGGACUGGCAGGAGGGUCCAUGAGCUCUCUGGACACACAGCGUGGUCUAUCCUGGGUGGACACCCAGCCUGAGCACUGUCUCCUUGUGACUCGUGAUGACUGCUUCCCUAUCCGUCUGCCAGAGCUCCCAGCCCUUGACAAGCCCCCCUCUGUCCCCACGUACUCCUUGCUGCCACUUGUUUGGGAAAAUAAAAGGUGCAGAAAGAACAUUUACGCCGCGGAGACGGGACCGCUCACCUUACCGACAUCUCCACGGCACGAAGAAUGGUCAGAGAUUAAGGGUUAAUGUGCAGGAUGGCAUGUCAAAUGCAACAGCAGCCGAGCGCAAAGGCAGCGGCCGUUUGCCCUGAUUCACGCUGCAAAUACUGCGUGCGAAGAAAGACGGGUGUCUUUGUAACAGACACGGAGGGGCUGGUGGAUCUGCCGAGACACCAAUGACGCCACUGUGAUUAAUUCUUCCGAGGCCUUUGAAAAUUAGAAGCAUGUCGUUAUGUAUAAUUUCUGCUGCAUCGUGGAAACGUGUGACGACCUAGAAAAUCAUGCUUCAGGCUGAUCCAAACAGAAACCGAAGGCCUGCGUGGGACAUAAAGUGAGGCUCUUGAGAAUUGUCGCUGCCAUCAAAUGGGCCCCGACUCACGGUGACCCCAAGCACAGCAGAAUGAAGUGCUACCUGGCCCUGAGCCGUCCUCAUGAUUGCAUUCGGAUUGGACCGUAGUGAUCCAAGGGGUUUUCGUUGGCUGAUUUUCAGAAGUAGCUCACCAGGCCUUUCUUCAUAGUGCCUCGUAGACUGGAAGCUCCGCUGAAGCCUGUUCAGCAUCAUAGCAAGAGGCAAGCCUCCACCGACAGGCAGGUAGCGGGGGUGCCUUGCCCAGGAAUUGAACCUGCGUCUCCCACAUGGAAGUCGAGAGCUCCGCCGCUGAACCACUAGUGCCCUCACACCGGGUGGUCAGCCUCUGUUUUAAUUUAAUGAGACAUUGUCUCCCUUUUGAGUGCCUUAAAUUCCCUUUGGGAGCAACUUUGUAACAUGUUUUGAGAGCCCUGAAAAGGCUCACAGUGUUGAUACAACAAUCCUAACUCUGCAAAGCUCUUCUAAGGAAAUAAUGCCAAAAAUGAGCACAAAUCUUCAUCACGGUAUGAGCUGUAAAGUGGUAAAUUGAAAGCAAUGGAGAUGACCGACGAUACAAGAACAGUUUGUUGGCGCUUUUACAUCAAAAUAGAUUGGUUUAAGAUGUACCCUACACCGAUACUGCCUCAUGGACGUAACGAAGAAAACCCACUCCCAGAAGGUAUUAUAACCACAUGUAUAAAAACCCGUUGCUAUCGAGUGGAUUCUGACUCACAGGAACCCUAUAGGACAGAGUAGAACUGCCCCAUAGGGUUGUUAAGGCUGUAGUCUUUAUGGCUGCGGAGUGCAUGGACAGGGAGCUGCCAGGAAUUCAAGCCGGAUUCAGAAGAGGAUGUGGAAUGAAGGAUGUCAUUACUGAAGUUAGAUGGAUCCUGGCUGAAAGCAGAGAAUACCAGAAGGAUGUUUACCUGUGUUUUAUUGACUAUGCAAAGGCAUUCGACUGUGUGGAUCAUAACAAACUAUGGAUAAUGCUGCAAAGAAUGGGAAUUCCAGAAGACUUCAUUGUGCUCAUGAGGAACCUUUACAUAGAUCAAGAGGCAGUUGUUCGGACAGAACAAGGGGAUGCUGAUUGGUUUAAAGUCAGGAAAGGUGUGCAUCAGGGUUGUAUCCUUUCACCAUACCUAUUUAAUCUGUAUGCUGAGCAAAUAAUCUGAGAAGCUGGACUAUAUGAAGAAGAACAGGGCAUCAGGAUUGGAGGAAGACUCAUUAACAAUCUGCGUUAUGCAGAUGACACAACCUUGCUUUGUGAAAGUGAAGAGGACUUGAAGCACUUACUGAUGAAGGUCAAAGACCACAGCCUUCAGUAUGGAUUACACCUCAGCAUAAAGAAAACAAAAAUGCUCACA